rnacentral:rRNA from 1 species
CCUACGGGAGGCAGCAGUGAGGAAUAUUGGUCAAUGGGCGCGAGCCUGAACCAGCCAAGUCGCGUGAGGGAAGACGGUCCUAUGGAUUGUAAACCUCUUUUGUCGGGGAGCAAAAGACGCCACGCGUGGCGUUCCGAGAGUACCCGAAGAAAAAGCAUUGGAUAACACCGUGCCAGCAGCCGCGGUAAGACGGAGGACGCGAGCGUUAUCCGGAUUUAGUGGGUUUAAAGGGUGCGCAGGCGGAAGAUCAAGUCAGCGGUAAAAUUGAGAGGCUCAACCUCUUCGAGCCGUUGAAACUGGUUUUCUUGAGUGGGCGAGAAGUAUGCGGAAUGCGUGGUGUAGCGGUGAAAUGCAUAGAUAUCACGCAGAACUCCGAUUGCGAAGGCAGCAUACCGGCGCUCAACUGACGCUCAUGCACGAAAGUGUGGGUAUCGAACAGGAUUAGAUACCCUGGUAGUC